GACGAACGCUGGCGGCGUGCUUAACACAUGCAAGUCGAGCGGUAAGGCCCUUUCGGGGGUACACGAGCGGCGAACGGGUGAGUAACACGUGGGUGACCUGCCCUCAGCUCUGGGAUAAGCCUGGGAAACCGGGGUCUAAUACUGGAUAUGACUCCAUGACGCAUGUUGUGGGGUGGAAAGCCUUGUGCGGCUGAGGAUGGGCCCGCGGCCUAUCAGCUUGUUGGUGGGGUGAGGCCUACCAAGGCGACGACGGGUAGCCGGCCUGAGAGGGCGACCGGCCACACUGGGACUGAGACACGGCCCAGACUCCUACGGGAGGCAGCAGUGGGGGAAUCUUGCGCAAUGGGCGAAAGCCUGACGCAGCGACGCCGCGUGAGGGA
rnacentral:rRNA from 1 species